CAAUAGCGUAUAUUAAAGUUGUUGCAGUUAAAAAGCUCGUAGUUGGAUUUGUGGCGUACGGUGUGUUCCGGGCACUUGUUGUCUGAGUAACCUGCUGUUGCCAUCCUUGGGUGGAACCUGUGUGGCAUUAGGUUGUCGUGCAGGGGAUGCCCAUCAUUUACUGUGAAAAAAUUAGAGUGUUCAAAGCAGGCUUAUGCCGUUGAAUAUAUUAGCAUGGAAUAAUGAGAUAGGACUUUUUUGCUAUUUUGUUGGUUUGCGCAAAGAGGUAAUGAUUAAUAGGGACAGUUGGGGGUAUUCUUAUUCCAUUGUCAGAGGUGAAAUUCUUGGAUUUUUGGAAGACGAACUACUGCGAAAGCAUUUACCAAGGAUGUUUUCAUUAA
rnacentral:rRNA from 1 species